rnacentral:rRNA from 1 species
GACGAACGCUGGCGGCGUGCUUAACACAUGCGAGUCGAACGGAAAGGCCCUGCUUUUGUGGGGUGAUCGAGUGGCGAACGGGUGAGUAACACGUGAGUAACCUGCCCUAGACUUUGGGAUAACUUCAGGAAACUGGGGCUAAUACCGGAUAGGAGCUCCUGCUGCAUGGAGGGGGUUGGAAAGUUUCGGCGGGUGGGGAUGGACUCGCGGCUUAUCAGCUUGUUGGUGGGGUAGUGGCUUACCAAGGCUGUGACGGGUAGCCGGCCUGAGAGCGUGACCGGCCACAUUGGGACUGCGAUACGGCCCAGACUCCUACGGGAGGCAGCAGUGGGGAAUAUUGCACAAUGGGCGGAAGCCUGAUGCAGCAACGCCGCGUGCGGGAUGACGGCCUUCGGGUUGUAAACCGCUUUCGCCUGUGACGAAGCGUGAGUGACGGUAAUGGGUAAAGAAGCACCGGCUAACUACGUG